rnacentral:rRNA from 1 species
CAGUCAUGCCCUUAGAUGUUCUGGGCCGCACGCGCGUUACAAUGGCAUGUAAAGCGAGUGCCGGUUAACAUGGCAUAUCCGGGGCCGAAAGGCUCUGGUAACCAUUAGUCCCUGCUUAGACUGGGACAGAUCAUUGCAAUUAUUGGUCUCAAACGAGGAA